AACGAACGCUGGCGGCAUGCCUAACACAUGCAAGUCGAACGAGAUCUUCGGGUCUAGUGGCGCACGGGUGCGUAACGCGUGGGAAUCUGCCCUUUGGUUCGGAAUAACAGUUGGAAACGACUGCUAAUACCGGAUGAUGACGAAAGUCCAAAGAUUUAUCGCCAGAGGAUGAGCCCGCGUAGGAUUAGCUAGUUGGUGUGGUAAAGGCGCACCAAUGCGACGACCCUUAGCUGGUCUUAGAGGAUGAUCAGCCACACUGGGACUGGGACACGGCCCAGACUCCUACGGUAGGCAGCAGUGGGUAAUAUUGGACAAUGGGCGAAGGCCUGAUCCAGCAAUGCCGCGUGAGUGAUGAAGGCCUUGGGGUUGAAAAGCUCUUUUACCCGGGAUGAUAAUGACAGUACCGGGAGAAUAAGCUCCGGCUAACUCCGUGCCAGCCGCCGCAGUAA
rnacentral:rRNA from 1 species